rnacentral:rRNA from 1 species
AAAUUGAAGAGUUUGAUCAUGGCUCAGAUUGAACGCUGGCGGCAGGCCUAACACAUGCAAGUCGAACGGUAGCACAGAGAGCUUGCUCUCGGGUGACGAGUGGCGGACGGGUGAGUAAUGUCUGGGAAACUGCCCGAUGGAGGGGGAUAACUACUGGAAACGGUAGCUAAUACCGCAUAACGUCGCAAGACCAAAGUGGGGGACCUUCGGGCCUCACACCAUCGGAUGUGCCCAGAUGGGAUUAGCUAGUAGGUGGGGUAACGGCUCACCUAGGCGACGAUCCCUAGCUGGUCUGAGAGGAUGACCAGCCACACUGGAACUGAGACACGGUCCAGACUCCUACGGGAGGCAGCAGUGGGGAAUAUUGCACAAUGGGCGCAAGCCUGAUGCAGCCAUGCCGCGUGUAUGAAGAAGGCCUUCGGGUUGUAAAGUACUUUCAGCGAGGAGGAAGGCGUUGUGGUUAAUAACCACAGCGAUUGACGUUACUCGCAGAAGAAGCACCGGCUAACUCCGUGCCAGCAGCCGCGGUAAUACGGAGGGUGCAAGCGUUAAUCGGAAUUACUGGGCGUAAAGCGCACGCAGGCGGUUUGUUAAGUCAGAUGUGAAAUCCCCGGGCUCAACCUGGGAACUGCAUUUGAAACUGGCAAGCUUGAGUCUCGUAGAGGGGGGUAGAAUUCCAGGUGUAGCGGUGAAA